rnacentral:rRNA from 1 species
UACGGGGGGGGCAAGCGUUGUUCGGAAUUACUGGGCGUAAAGCGCACGUAGGCGGCUUUGUAAGUUAGAGGUGAAAGCCCGGGGCUCAACUCCGGAACUGCCUUUAAGACUGCAUCGCUUGAAUCCGGGAGAGGUGAGUGGAAUUCCGAGUGUAGAGGUGAAAUUCGUAGAUAUUCGGAAGAACACCAGUGGCGAAGGCGGCUCACUGGACCGGUAUUGACGCUGAGGUGCGAAAGCGUGGGGAGCAAACAGG